UGGGGAAUAUUGCACAAUGGGCGCAAGCCUGAUGCAGCCAUGCCGCGUGUAUGAAGAAGGCCUUCGGGUUGUAAAGUACUUUCAGCGGGGAGGAAGGGAGUAAAGGUAAUACCUUUGCUCAUUGACGUUACCCGCAGAAGAAGCACCGGCUAACUCCGUGCCAGCAGCCGCGGUAAUACGGAGGGUGCAAGCGUUAAUCGGAAUUACUGGGCGUAAAGCGCACGCAGGCGGUUUGUUAAGUCAGAUGUGAAAUCCCCGGGCUCAACCUGGGAACUGCAUCUGAAAUUAGCAAGCUUUGGUCUCGUAGAGGGGGGUAGAAUUUCAGGUGUAGCGGUGAAAUGCGUAGAGAUCUGGAGGAAUACCGGUGGCGAAGGAGGCCCCCUGGACGAAGACUGACGCUCAGGUGCGAAAGCGUGGGGAGCAAACAGG
rnacentral:rRNA from 1 species